AUUGAACGCUGGCGGCAUGCUUUACACAUGCAAGUCGAACGGCAGCGCGAGUGCUUGCACCUGGCGGCGAGUGGCGAACGGGUGAGUAAUAUAUCGGAACGUGCCCUAGAGUGGGGGACAACCAGUCGAAAGAUUGGCUAAUACCGCAUACGAACUAAGGAUGAAAGUGGGGGACCUUCGGGCUCCAUGCUCCUGGAGCGGCCGAUAUCGGAUUAGCUAGUUGGUGGGGUAAAGGCCUACCAAGGCGACGAUCAGUAGCUGGUCUGAGAGGACGAUCAGCCACACUGGGACUGAGACACGGCCCAGACUCCUACGGGAGGCAGCAGUGGGGAAUUUUGGACAAUGGGGGCAACCCUGAUCCAGCAAUGCCGCGUGAGUGAAGAAGGCCUUCGGGUUGUAAAGCUCUUUUGUCAGGGAAGAAAUUGCCUGGGUUAAUACCCUGGGUAGAUGACGGUACCUGAAGAAUAAGCACCGGCUAACUACGUGCCAGCCGCCGCGGUAA
rnacentral:rRNA from 1 species